CACAGUGUGGUAUAGUGGUUUGAGUGUUGGACUAGGACUCCAGAAGAUCAGGGUUCAAAUCUCUGCUCAGCUG